rnacentral:tRNA from 1 species
GUCCUCGUAGCUCAGUAGGAUAGAGCGAGACACUCCUAACGUCUAGGCCGCAGGUUCAAUCCCUGCCGAGGACA